UACGAAGGGGGCAAGCGUUGUUCGGAAUUAUUGGGCGUAAAGGGCUCGUAGGCGGUUUGUCACGUCGGGAGUGAAAACUCAGGGCUCAACCCUGAGCGUGCUUCCGAUACGGGCAGACUAGAGGUAUGCAGGGGAGAACGGAAUUCCUGGUGUAGCGGUGGAAUGCGCAGAUAUCAGGAGGAACACCGGUGGCGAAGGCGGUUCUCUGGGCAUUACCUGACGCUGAGGAGCGAAGGCCAGGGGAGCAAACGGG
rnacentral:rRNA from 1 species